GGGGCUGUAGCUCAGUGGUAGAGUGCUUGCAAAGCAUGCAUGAGGCUCUGGGUUCAAUCCUCAGCACCACA
rnacentral:tRNA from 1 species